CUACAGUCCAUGGGGCCACAAGGAGUCGGACUGAAGCGACUUAGCAUGCAUGCGUCGCACUUUCUUGAACAAGCAACCUGGGGCUGAGGGCCUCACGGGCUUGAAUGCAGCAAGGCUUGGGAGCAGCCACAGGUCUGGACAGACUGACCCCUCGGACGGGACACCGCUGCCCUUCAUCUCUAUCAGACCUCGCCUUGCUGACCCCAGCAUCCUGAGGAGGUCCCUUCCUGAACACCCAGCUCUGUCCAAGAAGCCCCGCCCACCCGCGUUGGACCAACGGAAUUUUUUCCUUAGUGCACCCACACCUGUAGACUGAAGGCUUUCCGUUUAGAAGUGAUCUGAGCCAGCUGGGAGGGAGGCUUUGGCUCAGAGGGUAAAGCGUCUGCCUGCAACGCAGGAGACCUGGGUUCGAUCCCUGGGUCAGGAAGAUCCCCUGGAGAAGGAAAUGACAACCCACUCCAGUAUUCUUGCCUGGAGAAUCCCAUGG
ensembl:lncRNA